AGAGUUUGAUCAUGGCUCAGAACGAACGCUGGCGGCGUGCUUAACACAUGCAAGUCGAACGAGAAAGUUUCUUCGGAAAUGAGUAAAGUGGCGCACGGGUGAGUAACGCGUAGAUAACCUGUCCAAGUGAUCGGGAUAGCCCUUCGAAAGGGGGAUUAAUACCGGAUACGUUGAUUGUUUUUAAGGACGAUCAAGAAAGGUGGCCUCUAUUUAUAAGCUAUCGCACAUGGAGGGGUCUGCGUACCAUUAGUUUGUUGGUGGGGUAAUGGCCUACCAAGACUACGAUGGUUAACGGGUCUGAGAGGAUGAUCCGUCACACUGGCACUGAAACACGGGCCAGACUCCUACGGGAGGCAGCAGUGAGGAAUAUUGCGCAAUGGGGGCAACCCUGACGCAGCGACGCCGCGUGGGUGAGGAAGGCUUUCGGGUCGUAAAACCCUGUCAGAAGGGAAGAAAUGCUUAUGGGUUAAUAUCUUGUAAGCUUGACGGUACCUUCAAAGGAAGCACCGGCUAACUCCGUGCCAGCAGCCGCGGUAAUACGGAGGGUGCAAGCGUUGUUCGGAAUCACUGGGCGUAAAGGGCGCGUAGGCGGCUUGGCAAGUCAGAUGUGAAAGCCCACGGCUUAACCGUGGAAGUGCAUUUGAAACUGCUUGGCUUGAGUAUCAGAGGGGAAAGUGGAAUUCCCGGUGUAGAGGUGAAAUUCGUAGAUAUCGGGAGGAAUACCGGUGGCGAAGGCGACUUUCUGGCUGAAUACUGACGCUGAGGCGCGAAAGCGUGNGGAGCAAACAGGAUUAGAUACCCUGGUAGUCCACGCCGUAAACGAUGUCAACUAGGUGCAGGGGGUGNUGAUCCCCUCUGUGUCGCAGCUAACGCAUUAAGUUGACCGCCU
rnacentral:rRNA from 1 species